rnacentral:rRNA from 1 species
GGCAGCAAGUUCGCGAGGACAAGCAAAUCCCAUAAACCGUAGCUCAGUUCAGAUCGUAGGCUGCAACUCGCCUACGUGAAGGAGGAAUCGCUAGUAAUCGCAGGUCAGCAUACUGCGGUGAAUACGUUCCCGGGCCUUGUACACACCGCCCGUCACACCAUGGAAGUUGGCCAUGCCCGAAGCCGUUACUCCAACCCUUGUGGAGGAGGACGUCGAAGGUGGGGCUGAUGACUGGGGUGAAGUCGUAACAAGGUAGCCGUACCGGAAGGUGCGGCUGGAUCACCUCCUAA